rnacentral:rRNA from 1 species
GACGAACGCUGGCGGCGUGCCUAAUACAUGCAAGUAGAACGCUGAAGGAGGAGCUUGCUUCUCUGGAUGAGUUGCGAACGGGUGAGUAACGCGUAGGUAACCUGCCUGGUAGCGGGGGAUAACUAUUGGAAACGAUAGCUAAUACCGCAUAAUAGUAGAUGUUGCAUGACAUUUGCUUAAAAGGUGCAAUUGCAUCACUACCAGAUGGACCUGCGUUGUAUUAGCUAGUUGGUGAGGUAACGGCUCACCAAGGCAACGAUACAUAGCCGACCUGAGAGGGUGAUCGGCCACACUGGGACUGAGACACGGCCCAGACUCCUACGGGAGGCAGCAGUAGGGAAUCUUCGGCAAUGGACGGAAGUCUGACCGAGCAACGCCGCGUGAGUGAAGAAGGUUUUCGGAUCGUAAAGCUCUGUUGUAAGAGAAGAACGAGGGUGAGAGUGGAAAGUUCACACUGUGACGGUAUCUUACCAGAAAGGGACGGCUAACUACGUG